rnacentral:rRNA from 1 species
UACAGAGGUCCCGAGCGUUUGUUCGGAUUUAUUGGGCGUAAAGGGUGCGUAGGCGGCGGAGUAAGUUGGGUGUGAAAUCCCGGGGCUUAACCUCGGAAUUGCAUUCAAUACUGCUUCGCUUGAGUACUGGAGAGGAGGCUGGAAUUUACGGUGUAGCAGUGAAAUGCGUAGAUAUCGUAAGGAAGGCCGGUGGCGAAAGCGAGCCUCUGGACAGUUACUGACGCUGAUGCACGAAGGCCAGGGGAGCAAACGGG